rnacentral:tRNA from 1 species
CGCGCGGACCCGGGUCUUCAUCAAGGGCGAGGGGGUCGUCGUCGACGAACCGAGUGCGGCGGCGAUCAACACG